rnacentral:rRNA from 1 species
CUAAGGCUCCAGAGGAAGCCACGGCUAACUCUGUGCCAGCAGCCGCGGUAAUACAGAGGCGGCAAGCGUUGUUCGGAAUUAUUGGGCGUAAAGAGCACGUAGGCGGCCUUGCAAGUCAGUUGUGAAAGCCUUCCGCUUAACGGAAGAAUGCCGGCUGAUACUACAGGGCUUGAGUACGGGAGGGGAGAGUGGAACUUCUGGUGGAGCGGUGAAAUGCGUAGAUAUCAGAAGGAACGCCGGCGGCGAAAGCGACUCUCUGGCCCGAAACUGACGCUGAGUGUGCGAAAGCUAGGGGAGCAAACGGGAUUAGAUACCCCGGUAGUCCUAGCCGUAAA